UACGUAGGGUGCAAGCGUUAAUCGGAAUUACUGGGCGUAAAGCGUGCGCAGGCGGUUGUUCAAGACCGAUGUGAAAUCCCCGGGCUUAACCUGGGAAUGGCAUUGGUGACUGCACGGCUAGAGUGUGUCAGAGGGGGGUAGAAUUCCACGUGUAGCAGUGAAAUGCGUAGAGAUGUGGAGGAAUACCGAUGGCGAAGGCAGCCCCCUGGGAUAACACUGACGCUCAUGCACGAAAGCGUGGGGAGCAAACGGG
rnacentral:rRNA from 1 species